GCCAUCCUCUGACACCAUUAAGCUCUCAGCAGGUAGUAAGUCUGAAUUCUCUGCUGGUGUAAAUGAGCAGAGCUGCUUGAGCCCAUAGAUCUUUUCAAUGACUGGAUGGAACACAGAAGGAGAACCUUUGUCAAAGAUCAAUUAUUUCUUAAUCUUAAAUGGAAAUUCUGCAGUCCAGGUGAGGGAUCUCUGAGUCUCCUCAACAAGAAGCACAGUACCCAAUGACCUGUGAUGGCCACGGCUACUGCACCCAUGAUGGAAACGUCUUUUCAAACGUAUCACAAGUUUACCUUAUCAAAGACACUAGGUGUGUAAUGGACCAAUCUAAAAAUGGACCAAGCUAAAAAUCACUGUUAAU
rnacentral:lncRNA from 1 species